GGCUGAGGUGGUGAUGGCUCUGCCACCUCCGGGGGACACAGGGCAGAAGUGGCAGUAAAGUGACAUCAAGCAGCAACAGCUCCAGGUGCCAGAAGCAUCGCAAGAGUUCUGGGAUCUGCUGCUUCCAAAUGGAGCCCCCACACCAACGUGCCAAGGCCAGCACUCCCCGUGGGAGUCGGGAUCCACUGGAGAGCUGUCUGCAUCAGGAGAGUUCGGGAUUUUGGUGAGAAAAUGUCUGUGCUUAAGGACAAAGAUGAACUCGAUCAAAAAUGAAGCAGGAAGCAAAGCCAGUGUCCUGGGGGAACAUCCCUGCUUCUCCAGGUCACACCUGCUGAAGAUCCACACACAGCAGACGUGAGGCACCGGGCUCAUGGGACGUGGAACAUCCAGCCAGUCUUUAAAAGGAGCUGCUUAAAAAGAGGAACAAUCUGGAACAAGGUGGUUGCUGACGAGUUCCUCAGCAAGAGCCCAAGUGUGAAAGCAGGUCUGUGCAGGAGGGAGAGGAAGGACCAGCAUCAGCCCUGCCCUGCGACUCCGUGUGGGUGCCCAAGACCCCAUAACUCACAGCUGCUCCUGAGACUAUCCAGCCACAGAGAGGGACCCAUGGGGGGGUCCCCCAACAGAAUCCAGGUGACUCCUGUUCUUGCCAAGGAACCUCAUUAUUUGGAAAGUGAGGAAAAGCUGGAGCCUGUUGUUUUGGAGAGGAAAUCUGAAGUCCUCACUGGGACAAAUACUCACAUCAGCUUGAAGACACUUGUGUGAGGGAAGGCCACAGGCUGGCUCUGACAUCUGCAGGAAAACCCCCAACAUUCAGUACCAUGUAGAAAAAUAACUGAGAGUUUCCUGACAGCCAGUAUGGUGAAUGCUGCCUUCACCUGGUUACCAGUUUCUGGUGAGCCACCAGCUAACAACAUAGGAGCCAACU